UUUUUUUUUUUUUAAAUUUUGUGUAUGACCAAUCAAAUUGAUUUUCACUUGAUGUGUAUUGAUGUAAAAGAUGAUUCAGAAAAGACAAGAGUAAAUUGCUCUGAUUAUAUAGAGGUAUACACUCCGCUAGUCCACAAGCCUAUAUACAUGUGUGCAUACACUGCAAUAUCAACAGUCUAGAUCAAAAUAAAACAAAGUGGUCUGAGUGGACUAGUUUCCCCUCGCCAAGAUACUAUUCAUUUAUUCAUUCAGAAAAGUCUUGUUUUUCAUAUAUAUAUAUAUGUAUAAAUUAUUUAAAAUAAAAUAUAUUAUUUUGAGGUCAGCUGGAGUUUUAUGCAUGAGAAAAGUGCAGUGCCAAACCAAAUACGUUCUUUGAAAAAAAAAAAAAAAAAAAAAAAA